rnacentral:rRNA from 1 species
CCUACGGGAGGCAGCAGUGGGGGAUAUUGCACAGUGGGGGGAACCCUGAUGCAGCGACGCCGCGUGGGUGAAGGAGCGUUUCGGCGCGUAAAGCCCUAUCGGCAGGGAAGAAGGAGGACGGUACCUGACUAAGAAGCCCCGGCUAACUACGUGCCAGCAGCCGCGGUAAUACGUAGGGGGCAAGCGUUAUCCGGAUUUACUGGGUGUAAAGGGCGCGUAGGCGGGAUGGCAAGUCAGAUGUUAAAUCCGGGGGCUCAACCCCUGAACUUCAUUU